GGGGCCAUCGUCUAGUGGUUAGGAUAGGUGGUUCUCAGCCAUCAGACCGGGGUUCGACUCCCCGUGGCCCUACCA
rnacentral:tRNA from 2 species